CUAGGAUGGCUGUAAAACAAUAUGUCUUUGGGCAUGAUGUAAAUACUAUGGUGGGGUGAUGGUAAUGGUGUAACUUCUAUGGUGGGUUGAUGGUAACCCCACAUACGAUGGUUUAAUGUCUUUUUGUAUGUGUUGUAGGGACUGAGUCCCCUCUUAUUUAGGACUAGUUAUGUUUGGUGAAUGAAUGAUGGACUCUAAGAGUCCUUUAUUUAGAAUAUUGAACAAAUCGUCUAUUAGGUGUUUCUUUUAAA